UAUUAGGUGAAUUUUAGAAAUAUUACUAUAUGUCUAGUGCCUAGGGUGUAAUAGUUGCUCAGUAAGUCUUUGCUGAAGGAAGGAGAAAGGGAGGGAAGAAAGAUACAGAAAUCUCUGCUCUUUAGCAGAUUUUCUGACAUCUCCUUAGUCAAUAUUAUGCAGGCAAAGCAGCCAUAGCAACAGCAGGAGUAACAUAACAUGUCAUUUUUCGUGCUUUGAAGACCUGUUUUCAUAGAUACAGUGCAAUGUCAUUGCUCUUGAACCCAUUUGCUUGAUAAGCAAAAUCUAAUUGCUAGGAAAUACAGAAGUCGUAAACCACCUUGGAUAGCAGGAUGAAAUGCUAAUAGGUACAAGAAUGUUGCCACAAAGCUCACCAAUUAAUUAUUUGAAAGUGGGCUUGGGUAAAGAAAAUAGCACAAAGAAAAAGAAUAUGUUGGAAAACAGCUAUUCUGAGAUAGCUGGAGACACAAAAGCAGCUCACCAGAGCAGACAUUCUGCUCCUUGAUAAAGCUAACAAAACAGUGGACCUUAUUGAUGUAGCUGUUUCCUGCAGCAGAAGCAUCACAAAAAUCUGUCCAGACAAAACAAACAAGUAUGCAGCCCUGGCAGAAGAGCUGACGUUAAGUGUGGAAACUGAGGAACAUCAAAGUCAAGGCAGCUAUCAUCUUGGCAAGAGGGAUGUUGUUCUCUGCACAAGCUGUACAUCUGGAGGCCACAGCAAAAGGAUCCUGGCAAAAGUUCAAUUCCAUGGAACAGAAGUGAUGGCAUUUUUCAGGUACCCCGGAAAGAACACCACUUUGCGAACCCCACUAAAUAAGAACUUUCUUUCUGCUGGACUAUGACUGGUGAUGUGCUGCGACUCUUUGGGAGAUGUUGGUCUGGAAGGGGCUUGGUUCAUAACGAUAUGAAGUCAGCAGCUUGCACCAGGUAUCUGUCACAUCUCAAGCUUUGAACAAGGUAGGUGAUGGAUAAGGGAACUUCGCAUUCACUUUUAUCCACAAUGUCAGGGCACCCUGGCCACCCUGCCCGAGUGUUUCAAUUUCCUCACCCUCCUGCCUCCCCCAUGCCUUUCAUCAAGCCUUGGAGGUAAUUGCUCCAUGCACAAACAGCUUGCGGCCUAGUGUGCAAGUAACAAUUAGUUUAGAGGCUGUGAUCUAUAAAUUUUGAGGAGAAGGAAAGAGGCCUUGGUGCACUUGGGCUAUCGUUUCUAAUGAAGAAAAAUAGCACACCGGAAGGGAUCCAGAGUGUUAUUGAAGCAACUUAAUAUCAUCUGGUCAUGAUUUGCAGGCCUUGAUAAUGUCUUGUGAUCUUGGGGGAAAGAAAAAAAAGGGGGUGGGGGAGUAAGUUGUUGUUGUUUGUGUUUCUUAGAAAAAAAAAAAAAAAAAACCCUCACUCUGUGUUUAUGAGAUUUACGACAUGCGGACCACCAUCUGUAUAAACCCCACCAAUCUUCCAUCACUGUCUCUUCAGCUCUGUAAACUAGACCGUCCAGAGAGGGACACCAUAGGAAUGUCGUCCUAUUUAUUGUUUGUAAAAAUAAACUGGCCGGCCAGAGAUGUAUGUGAGGAAUUUACACACAGCAGCUGCACAAGCAAGUGUGCGAGGGACGCGGGGGCUGAGGAAGUCGGGAGGGGAGGCGAUGUGACCCCCAGCACAGCGCACGCCCUCUCCCAUCAGCCCGGAGAGGACCACUUUGGGAGAUAAAAGGAAAGGCGGGGAGGUGGGAGGGAGGGAGAGAGCCAGAUUCAAUAUCCAACCAGGUCAGACCCCCUUUCUCUUUGUCAAACCAAAGCGUUGCUGCAUUUGGAAUGCUGGCCUAGAAAGAGCACAUCUUCCUUCCAAGAGGAGACACUGGGAUGAGCCCCGAGGGGUGGCCAUGUGUUCCUUUUGGGGACCAAAGAGCAAAACAAGAAACAAAGCCCCAUCAGAGUCUUCCUGAUGAGUCGCUGUUUUAAAAGCAGGGUGCGGUCUGUUUUUGGCUUUGACUAGGGAGCAGGAUCGAGUAGGGGUUGGCCCCUCUCAUGAAGCACGUAGGAAGCACAUGCUUGGCUUCUGUCAGCCAGCCCCUGCCACAGAGCCUCAUACUGCUGGUCUGAGCUUUGCUACUUAUGUGUUAGCUGGGCUGUCUCAGGAAGGUCCAGGCAGGAGGAGGGCAGAUCUGCUCUCUUUAGAUUUGUCUCUGAAUCCAAAUGACAAAGACAAGACUAAGAUUCAGAAGUUUAACAAUGUCAUGGUUGAAAUAGCAGCAAUAAGCCAGGCACAGUGGUUCACGCCUGUAAUCCCAGCACUUUGGGGGUCAAGGCGGGCAGAUCACAA